rnacentral:rRNA from 1 species
ACUGCUCAGUAACACGUAGCUAACCUACCCUUAAGUCAGGGAUACCCUCGGGAAACUGAGGCUAACACCUGAUAGAAGACAUGCCCUGGAAUGACUUGUCUUUCAAAUUCGAGCUUAAGGAUGGGGCUGCGGUGGAUUAGGUUGUUGGCGGGGUAAUAGCCCACCAAGCCGAUGAUCCAUAAGGGCUCUUAGCGGAGAGGCCCUGAGAGGGAAUCUGAGACACUAUUCCCAGCCCUACGGGGUGCAGCAGUUAGGAAUAUUCUGCAAUGCGCGCAAGCGUGACAGAUUGAACCAGAGUGUUUUUCAAAUGAAAAGCUUUUGCCAAGUGUAAAAAGCUUGGCGAAUAAGGACUGGGUAAGACGAGUGCCAGCCGCCGCGGUAAUACUCGCGGUCCAAGUCGCAGCCAUUUUUAUUGGGUCUAAAACAUCCGUAGCUUGCUUGAUAAGUUUCUUGUGAAAUUUUAUAUCUCAAAUAUAGAGCGUGCAAGAAGUACUGUCAAGCUAGAGACUGGAAGACGUAAGAAGUAUGUUUGGAGUAGCGGUAAAAUGUGUUAAUCCCAGACAGACUAACAACAGCGAAGGCAUCUUACGAGAACAGUUCUGACAGUAAGGGAUGAAAGCUAGGGGCGCAAAACGGAUUAGAUACCCGCGUAGUCCUAGCAGUAAACACUGCACACUAGACAUCGGGACCUCUUCGAGAGGUUUCGGUGCUGCAGGGAAGCCGAAGAGUGUGCUACCUGGGAAGUAUAGUCGCAAGGCCGAAACUUAAAGGAAUUGGCGGGGGAGCAC